GAUCAAAGCAGCAACAUUAGAUAUUAAGGGCUCGUUUGGUAGGGAUUUUGAGAAUUGAUUUUUUGACCGUUAGAAGAAAAGUGGGGUCCACAUGUGAGAGAAGAAGUCAAAAAUUACGGCUUGAAUAGUAAAAUAACGGUCAAAAAAUCAAUUUUUUGGGGCAAAAAAUUCCUACCAAACGGGCCUUAAGUGAGAUACUCUAAUUUAUCUAAGCAACCUUAGAUUAGGAAAACUUUUAACGAUAAACAUUAAAGACGCAGAAACUCAGCAGAGGCAAAAUUUUCUGAAAAAGUCAACGAUUUUACAUGUACUACAUUACUAUAAAGAAAAAUGACCUCCCGUCCUAUGAAGAAAACAAUUGAUAUGCUUCCAUUUGGACUAAAGCCUCGAGAGGAAGGGAGAAAACACGGUAUUCAUCCUCUCAUACACAUCCAGCAAGAAUUUAGGCACCCUUUGUCAAAUGAUCGGUGUAUACAAUAAAUUACUUUGUAACAUACUUUAUAGGGAAAAAAUCACCUAUAUAAAAUGAUAAUGCAAACAAUUGGAGAGCAUUAUCAAUUAUUGAAUAAUAAUAUGCUGCUAAAAAAUAGACAAAAAGGUAACCAUGAACCACCCACAGUCAAUUCCAGACCAUAAUGUGUGGUAUUGUAGUAAAUAUUUAAACUACACCUAAAAACUAAUCAGGAAACCUCAAUAAUCCACAUCUAGCACAAAGUUUGGCACCAAGAGAAGGCGUCCCAUUGCAAUCCCCUUUUUUACUUGACAAAGAGAGGAUUUACACAAAAUCAUGCAUGAAAGACAGCAUAUAGAAACAUGGAAUAUUAUAUAAACUUAUGAUUUAGAUUCAAGAAACCUGUCUAAGAAUGCAAUAUGUGUCAUUUGAUUUUAAUUUAAUUCGUAUUUUCAAACUCAAAAAGAAAAAGUUAUUAAUUUGGUUUUGAACUUUUGAGCCUAUUUAAAAAAAAAAAAAUGGAACAUGAAAAGAUUUAUCUAUCUACAAACUUCAAUGUCAAAUAAUUUUCUACAAUAAAUGUGAAGUGAAUAGACCUUAUGUGACCAACAAGAGGAAUUUAUUUUUGCCACCAUUCUCUUCAUCAAUAAAAUUCAGAAGCACAAUCACCAAAGUUUCCGAUUUCAUGGGUUUUGAUUUGGGGGCCUUUGGGAUUCUGGGGUUCGAUAGUUGGAACAGCUCGUGGGUGAGAGUUUCUCAGCAAGAAUUUUGGAGUUCUCUGCUAGUUGGAUGAUUUUGAAAUGAUUUGGGGGUUUGAGAUUUG
rnacentral:lncRNA from 1 species